UGAAACCCUGUUUGCACUAUAAUAUAAUUUUAAUUGGAAGGAGAAUGAUGAUUUCUGAAAUUAUUUCUGAACCACAGUUACCACUCUUCUUGCUAUAAAAAUGAUUAACUUGUAGUAGGAUGUCACACACUCGUCACUCUUGCUUCAUUUCCCUUGUUAAUGACUAAAAUAUGUCUUACUUCAUCAGUCUUAAUUUAGGUCUGACUCUUUAUUCUGGUUCAGUGGCUGCUUGAAUUCCUUAAGAAAGAAUUUGUGUGCUUGCCUGCUGCCUAUGGGAAGAAGCCUUGUGUUUGAAGGCACAAAUAAAGCCAAAAUAUUUCUUAUCCAACAGAUCCUUUCUGGUCAACAACAAGAGCUGUGGCAUUACAGUUUUCCUCUAAGAGGUGCAAGAUUGAUGCUUUAAUUCAACCUUUGCCAACACUUUGUAAUUAAGCAAGGAAAUUUUCCAAGAGGAAAUUCCUGUGCUAGGUUGACCAAAUUGAUUACCAGGUUUUUAGUUCAUAGAUCUCCUUUGUUAUCAAAACCCAAGCAGGCUGAAAGAUAUCAAAGCUUCACUUGAAGGUAAAAGCAGUUAGCUGGAAGUGUUUGUUUUCUCUGGGAUUGGUUGGACAUUGGUCAGCAGACUCCUGUACAAGCAGCAGGUGAGUAAUUUUCAGAGGGUAAUUUGAACCCAUCCCAGGGAAGGAGUACAAGCUGGUUGAUACGAGUUUCUGCUGGUGAUGGGCCUGUUUUCUUAAAUAUUUCUGUGUGGGGAACAGCAACAAUCUCAUAAAUACCAGCUAGGGCUGCCAUCUGCACUGCUGCUGUACAGAAAACUGCUCAAAGGGCAGGUGCAAUAAAAACCACUUGACAACAUUGCAUGGGCACUGUGGAAAAUGGCCUUAAGAAAUGAGAAUUUCCAGAAACACCCAAAGCCUGUGCUUCAGAUCUUAACAUUUUACCACUGGCACUAAUUGGUCAGACAAAACAAUCCUCUGCCCCAUUUCCCGUGAAUUUAGUCCCACUGAACUCGUCCAGCCGGAUAAAGAGGAUUUCCACACCUUUCAACACAGCUGCAAGGUGCCUGUAGAAGGAAAGCAAGCAGUUCACCUCUUGUUGAACUGGCUGAAGUGGCAGAGAGAGUUUGGAAGUGCAGAUUCCUGCUCAGGAGUGAUGCAAGAGCUCUGUGCUUGGCUGUCCUGCCCUUUCCUGAGCUCUCCAGGCUCAAUAAUAAUAAUAAUUCCCAGGGUGUGGGUUGGAUACUUCCUUAAGGAGCAGCAGGAUGGCCACAGCCACCACGGUGCCUGUCAUAAAUAUUGGCAACGUUUGGGUGCGUUUUAAUGUGUUUGGUUUUUUUUUUCCUACAGCUUUUAAAUACAAAAUAAGCCUCUUAUUUAAAAUUAAUCCAUAAGGUUCGUGUGUCUUGAUACCAGUCAGAUUUGUUGAAAAUGCCUAGUCAAUACAUAGCCUUUUAAUAGUUUAAGUGUUGGGAACUGCCAGAAGACCUUAAGGCAAAGAAUUCACAAAAUAGCCAGAUUUUAGCAUCCCAUUACACGCCCCAGAAUGGCAGGCUUGGAGCUAACAAUUCAGGAAUGUGUCGGUACUUCAGCACUUGCUUGAUCCCUGACUGAAAGGCUUGGAAUUUCUGUCUUAGAUAUGCUGAAGGUGAUAAAUUAGCCCGUGAGUUAUUUCAUCAGCACUGAUUGACAUUCAAACACUCUGAGUUAGUCACUUAGGAAAGGACUUGAAGGAGGCCACUGGGUCUCCUGCAUCCUGUGCACUCAGAGUAGGUAAAUUUGAUGUAAUUCGGAUGCAACCAGCCCGCACAAAUCCAAAAAUCGUAGCACCGUGUGACCGGGAUGCAAAAGCUGCAUCCCUUGACUCUUCUCUAGGUGGGAGAUCAGGCUCGGAAUGGAGCAAGAACAGCGGGUUUUGGCUGUGGUGGGAUUUCAGCUAU
ensembl:lncRNA